rnacentral:rRNA from 1 species
UACGUAGGUGGCAAGCGUUAUCCGGAAUUAUUGGGCGUAAAGCGCGCGUAGGCGGUUUUUUAAGUCUGAUGUGAAGGCCCACGGCUCAGCCGUGGAGGGUCAUUGGAAACUGGAAAACUUGAGUCGCACGCAGAGGAAAGUGGAAUUCCAUGUGUAGCGGUGAAAUGCGCAGAGAUAUGGAGGAACACCAGUGGCGAAGG